rnacentral:rRNA from 1 species
GAUGAACGCUGGCGGCGUCCCUAAUACAUGCAAGUCGAGCGAACGGACGAGAAGCUUGCUUCUCUUAUGUUAGUGGCGGACGGGUGAGUAACACGUGGAUAACCUACCUAUAAGACUGGGAUAACUUCGGGAAACCGGAGCUAAUACCGGAUAAUAUUUUGAACCGCAUGGUUCAAAAGUGAAAGACGGUCUUGCUGUCAUUUAUAGAUGGAUCCGCGCUGCAUUAGCUAGUUGGGAAGGUAACGGCUUACCAAGGCAACGAUGCAUAGCCGACCUGAGAGGGUGAUCGGCCACACUGGAACUGAGACACGGUCCAGACUCCUACGGGAGGCAGCAGUAGGGAAUCUUCCGCAAUGGGCGAAAGCCUGACGGAGCAACGCCGCGUGAUUGAUGAAGGUCUUCGGAUCGUAAAACUCUGUUAUUAGGGAAGAACAGAUGUGUAAGUAAAUGUGCACAUCUUGACGGUACCUAAUCAGAAAGCCACGGCUAACUACGUG